AUUGAACGCUGGCGGCAGGCCUAACACAUGCAAGUCGAACGAGUGGCGGACGGGUGAGUAAUGUCUGGGAAACUGCCUGAUGGAGGGGGAUAACUACUGGAAACGGUAGCUACUACCGCAUACCAUCAGAUGUGCCCAGAUUGGAUUAGCUUGUUGGUGGGGUAACGGCUCACCAGGGCGCCGAUCCCUGGCUGGUCUGGGAGGAUGACCGGCCAAAGUGGAACUGAGACACGGUCCAGAGUCCUACGGGAGGCAGCAGUGGGGAAUAUUGCACAAUGGGCGCAAGCCGGAUGCAGACAGGCCGCGUGUAUGAAGAAGGCCUUCGGGUUGUAAAGUACUUGCAGCGGGGAGGCGUUACCCGCAGAAGAAGCACCGGCGAACUCCGUGCCAGCAGCCGCGGUAAUAC
rnacentral:rRNA from 1 species